rnacentral:rRNA from 1 species
GCUAACUCCGUGCCAGCAGCCGCGGUAAUACGGAGGAUGCGAGCGUUAUCCGGAUUCAUUGGGUUUAAAGGGUGCGUAGGCGGACUAUUAAGUCAGUGGUGAAAUCCUGCAGCUUAACUGCAGAACUGCCAUUGAUACUGAUAGCCUUGAGUUUGGUUAAGGUAGGCGGAAUGUGUAAUGUAGCGGUGAAAUGCUUAGAUAUUACACAGAACACCAAUUGCGUAGGCAGCUUACUGAGCCGACACUGACGCUGAGGCACGAAAGCGUGGGGAUCGAACAGGAUUAGAUACCCUGGUAGUC